GAAUUUAUGCCAGAGCAAAAGAAUGAUUGGGUGUCCAUGUAACUUUACAUAGUUAUGUUUGGCCAAUAAUCGUUUGGACA
rnacentral:snoRNA from 1 species